GUUAAAAAUAAUCAAAAACGGUAAUAAUAAUUAUCAGCAUUAACAAGAUUAAUAAUAAUAUUGCUGUAAAAUAUAUCAAAAUAAAUAAAUAAAGUCACGCUUCCAGUGGCGUAAUGACGUAACGGCGUAAAGCUGCGUACGCCAGCUGGCGUCGUGGAUGUUGUCAUGUCGCUGUUAGCAGCUGAGUCGUCGGAGUAAAUCAGCUUCUGUUGGACCGGCGGAUGAUAAUAAUGUGUUUUUAAAAACAAAUUAAUACUAUUUACCGAGUGGAAACAACUAACCGCUUCCACCACAUGUUCGCCAGCAUUUAACGGCACAGAGAAGGAGUUAGCCCGCAGAUAACCUAGCUCACUGGCUAGCUUGCGAGCUAACAGCUUAGCUGGCUCCUCCAGCUGAUGUUAGGUUGGUAAUGUAGCUGUAGCAUCUUGAAGGAACUCUGUUAUGAAUGACUGAUAUUAUACAUUGUAUGGCUUAACGUGUAAAUGUUUAAGUUUACAACAAUGUGAGUGACGUAUUUAUGAGUCAGUUGGCUAUUUUUGUGAAUUCGGCAGACAAAUAUUCCACCAACUGCAAUUUAUUACGGAGACUGGUGUCCUGGUUUCUCCUCAGUAUGGCGUCUUCCUUUAAGAUCCCGAAGAAGAAACACCCAACGGCUUCUGAAUCCGCCCCCCUGUACACGUCACCGCUGUCCCGCCUGCAGAGCGCCACCCCCGAAUUAAAGAGCUAUGGGAACCAGUACAGCAGAGCUGACAGGAUGCAUGCUGGGAGCUCAGCAGGCUCCUCAGUGAACAGAGAGAGCGCUCCUCUCUUCAGGGAAGUGGUCAAAACGCUGCUCGGACUUACAGCCAAUCAAAGAGAAGCCUCGGCAGCCAAUCGCAAAGGAGGACGGAGUGCCAAGUUGUCUGCUGCUUCUCCCUCAGUCGGGUGGCGCCCUAAAAGGGCUUCAGACCGCCAGCUGCCUCCUGAUGUGACCUCACAGCCUCCGUCUCCACCA
ensembl:lncRNA